rnacentral:rRNA from 1 species
CGCAGCCGCGGUAAUUCCAGCUCCAAUAGCGUAUAUUAAAGUUGUUGCAGUUAAAAAGCUCGUAGUUGAAUUUCGGGAUCAAUUAAUUGGUCGUGCCUCUGGUACGUACUGGCAUUGUUGGUUUCUCCCUUCUGACGAACCAUGAUGUCAUUUAUUUGGUGUCGUGGGAAAUCAGGACUGUUACUUUGAAAAAAUUAGAGUGUUUAAAGCAGGCUCACGCUUGAAUACAUUAGCAUGGAAUAAUGAAAUAGGACGUUUGAUUCUAUUUUGUUGGUUUCUAGGAUCGACGUAAUGAUUAAUAGGGAUAGUUGGGGGCAUUAGUAUUCAAUUGUCAGAGGUGAAAUUCUUGGAUUUAUUGAAGACUAACUACUGCGAAAGCAUUUGCCAAGGAUGUUUUCAUUAAUCAAGAACGAAAGUUAGGGAUCGAAGACGAUCAGAUACCGUCGUAGUCUUAACCAUAAACUAUGCCGACUAGGGAUCGGAUGAUGUUAAUUUUUCAAUUGACUCAUUCGG